GAGUUGUAGCCUCGUGUACGGGCAAAGCGCCCCCCGACCA
rnacentral:tRNA from 1 species